CGGGGCGUAGCUCAGCCUGGUAGAGUACUUGCAUGGGGUGCAAGGGGUCGCACGUUCGAACCGUGUCGCCCCGACCA
rnacentral:tRNA from 1 species